rnacentral:rRNA from 1 species
UGAGAAUUUAUAUUUUAAUUGCUAAAGUAUUCUAACUUUACUAAGGUAUUGAAACAAGAUUUUAAUUGAAUGCUAAAAGAAUGGAUAAAUAAAAAAUUUAUUUUAUUUAUUUUAAAAAUAAAAUUUUAUUUAAAAAUAAAAAAGUUUUUAUACAAAUAUGGGACAAGAAGACCCUAUGAAUUUUUACUUAUAACAAGUUCAAAUUUGUACUUAUUAUAAAUUUAAUUGGGGCGAUAAAAAAAUAUUAAAAAACUUUAAUUAUAAGAUUAAAUUAAUAUAAACAUAUAAAUACUCUAGGGAUAACAGCGUUAUUAUUUUAGAAAGUCCAUAUUGAAAAAAUAGUUUACGACCUCGAUGUUGAAUUAAUAUAUCUAAAAAAAGAAGAAUUUUUUUAAGAAAGAUUGCUCAUCUUUUAAUUUAUUACGUGAUCUGAGUUCAGACCGGA